AUUGAACGCUGGCGGCAGGCUUAACACAUGCAAGUCGAACGAUAACUCUCUAGCUUGCUAGAGUUGUUUAGUGGCGGACGGGUGAGUAACAUUUAGGAAUCUACCUAUGCGCUUGGGAUAGCUCGGGGAAACCCGAAUUAAUACCGCAUACGACCUACGUGUGAAAGGGUGCGCAGGCUCUUGCUACUAGAUGAGCUUAGAUCAGAUUCGCUAGUUGGUGGGGUAGAGGCCUACCAAGGCGACGAUCUGUAACUGGUCUGAGAGGAGGAUCAGUCACACCGGAACUGAGACACGGUACGGAGUCUUACGGGAGGCAGCAGUGGGGAAUAUUGGACAAUGGGGGCAACCCUGAUCCAGCGAUGCAGCGUGUGUGAAGAAGGCCUUUUGGUUGUAAAGCACUUUAAGCAGGGAGGAGAGGCUACUGGUUAAUACAAAUUAGAUUAGACGUUACCUGCAGAAUAAGCACCGGCUAACUCCGUG
rnacentral:rRNA from 1 species